AAGUAAAAUGCUCGGGCCGAGCGCAGCGAUUUUCGUCACUUCGUGUCCAGCCAACGAGAGACGGUUUGGGCUAGAGCCGAGGUUGUCAUCGGCGAACGAACGCACAGCGAAAGCAGACGAUGUGAGCAGUUCCCGACAGUGGUGUUGUAGGUCGCAUGAGUUUUAUUCUGUGGGCUGUCAUGAACCAUGCAUUCACAAGGCUGUCAUGGGAAUAAGAGUGUGACAGCCAUCAAAACAAGGAUCGGUAAAUUCGCCUCACUCCAUUCAUAUUCACUCCUCUUUGCUGAAGCGAAUCGAGAAUGAUGCAGCAAACGGAUAGUCAUGAACAAACACGCAACCCCAUCACCAGUGAGAAGCGAUGCGCAAGCUGGUUGACAUGGAUAUUCGUGGCCGAUCGUCGCAGUUUGGAUCGCAAGCGAAUGAAUGAAUAGUGCCAUUUACACUUAUCAAUUAAUUGAUUCAACCAAGAGGUUCAAUCCUUCCUUCAACUUCAUCAAGAAACACAAAUUGAUAGAAAUAUUGCUAAAUGUAUUGCUUGCAUUUUUAUUGCGAAGAAGAUGGAUGAUAAUGUUGAAUCUUGAUAUAAAUACUGACCAACCUGCAAAAGCGAGAUUGAGGUUGGUGUUUAUAUCUUCAAUAAUUUCCCCUCCGAAAGAUUGAUCCAACCACCGCUAUCAUCCAGUUUGACCAAACCAUCAAGAUCAUCCAAGUCCGUCAAACUUUCCCCUUGAGUUGUUUUAUUCGAUCAAUCCAGCAGGGUAAAAGAGUCAGCAGAUUGAGCGAAGACCAUCCCAUCAGUGAGGAAGAGAUAGCAAUUCACCAACAUUCAGCGCGUGGUUCACGGCGUUCAUGGUGGCCAGCUCAAUUGAAUUUUAUGGAAUGCUUUGAAAGCAAAUUUUUAGAAAUAAAGUGUCACGUUUUUGCAUUGUAAAUAAAAUAAAGACUUGAUCAUUAGAAAAGUGCAAAUUUCUAUAUUUCACUUGCUUAUUCAAUUCCAUUAAUGAUUAUGAAAAAAAAAAUGUUUUAAUAAUUCUGGUGAUUUACCACGCCAUAUUCGAUUUUUUGUAAGCAUUCAUAAACUCUUAUUUAUUGAACCCAAUCUCUCGGAUGAGUAUGAUGAAUUGGUAAAUAGUGGAUCUAUUUAUUAAUUCAUCAUGCUAUUUUUCCUAAUGUCUUGAGAAGGUUAAUGUUUUUUUUAAUUUCUAACACAAGUUAUGAACUUCUACCGGUGAACCAAAAUAUUUCAUACAAAAUGGAGCUUAAACAAUAAGUAUGAACAGUUAGGAUCGAACUUCAACAUGUAAAUUUGGAAAUCACUCUAAGGGGCUUUUCCCUCUUACAAAAUUUAAAGUUAAAAAUAAAUAAAUAAUUAAAUAAUAGUUAGGUUCGAACAAGUUUUGAUUUUUGCUAAUGUCAUAGUCAUAGUAAAUAUGUAAAGCAGUAGAGGUUUGGAAAACAAAGGCUGAUAUGAGGUUAUUGCCAUAUUGAUUUGGUUGUUUCGGCUAUAAUUGAAAAUGUUUGCUUUAUCCGUUAUUAACAGGUUUAUCUAUAGCUAGAUUGAUUACUGAACGAUGAUUAAAUUAUAUGCCUUGAGAGUGACUUUGAGUAUUAUUGGCCGUGUUUCUCUCUUUGCCAUAAGAGUUUUUUGUCGUCCAAAUAGCUUGAAACUUAGUUGUAAACAGUUUGAUUGGCAAAAUGUGACGCCAACUUUCAGUUUAUCAGACUUUAGAUAACACCCCAUGACGAAGAGAACAAAGCUGUCGAAAAUAUACUGAGUUUUGUAGCAUUUUAUACUAAAGGCACUAGAAAAUCGCAUAUGCGUUAGUGGAAAUUAAAGAUGUGAUAUAAAACAUGAUGAACCAAUGUUAAAUAUUAAACAUUAUUCCUAAAUAAUCUAAUGAAAAUUUACGAUGCGCAACAUGUGCUUGAAAAUGUUUAUUUGGCAGCGCUUUCUUGUUUCCUUUAUUCCACCAUUCCAUCAAGUAUUUCUUUCUCAAGGAUUAUUGAUGAAAUCACGAGGAUCAAACCAAGUAUCAAUCCAAUAUCUUUCACGAGAGAUAGAUCAAGCCGAGGCUCGAGCAGAGAGAAAAUCUCCCGGCAGUAUGAGAGAAGUUAAUGCAUAAAGAGAAAAAAAAACAAGUGUCCGUGCAUGCUUAUCAUACGUGCACAGCUAGCAAAGCAAAGCCUUUUAGGCCGGAACAAAUUUCAUUUUCUUCUUAUGUCACAAUACUCGUUGGCUCGCUAAAGGGGAGGACAAUAAAUAAUAAAUGUAUGUGACGAAGAAAUACCCAAACAAUUUGGCAAAAUCUAUAAACUCAUCGGAUUUGUUAAGAAAUUUUCUGUGUAACUCUAAUUUCACCUUGAAAUUUUAGAAUUUCUUGAAUAAUUUAUUGUUGUCCCCCCUCAAAAUGUUGAAUAUCGACCAAAAUUUUCCGAGGGGGCGGUGACAUAAGAGAAAAUCGAAAUCUGUGUCAGCCUUAUGGAAUCAAUGCGUCGUCGGUGGGUGUGCGGUUGAUUUUCAGUCCUACCGAUCCCAAUGCCCAAUGUAUACAAUGCAUUUCUGUCACAUUUUUAUUUAUGUUUUUUAAUGAAUUUUCUAUUCACAUUAAUUCUUCUAAGCUUUACCAUUUUUACACAUGUAAUCAAACAUUUUACAUAUUUUUUUAUUACGAAAAGUUUUUGGACAGCCCAUGGGAUGGGACUCGAAACACCAUCAGUGCCGUCUUGCUGAAUUACCUUUAUAUUUCGACAUUACACAAAAUUACUACAGAAGGGUGUUCUUUGUCAGAAGGGGGUAUUUCUAAUUUAUAGGCAACGCAGCUAAGCAUGUUACCACCCUAAUGUGCAAAUUAUUAAUUAACUGGUGUUAGAAACCGCCAGUGCACCAGUAAUUUUUAGCAAAGUUCGGUGGGACACCAACCGAGUUAUAAGAUUACACAAAAAAUGUUGUGAACUGUUUAUUGCUGACUGCACCCCAAGUUGGACUGACACAAUAGUGUGCACACACCUUCAAAGUGUGAUUGCAGCGCAGGGAUACGUCGGAUCGAAUUAAGGUCUUCGGUGCACUUAUUCCUUGUAAAUGGAGGAAUAAGUGCACCGAAGACGUCGAGACGAUCCGAGGCAAAUGUGCACUUUUAUCACACUUUUUAGGCGUACCAAAAAAAGUGUGAUAGUCCAAUUUGAGAUGUAGUCUGCAAUAUUAUCACUAAUGCAUUGUAAUCGUUGGGUUCAUUACAUUUACCUCUGCAUAAACUUAUAUAAACUUUGCAUAAAUUUACUGCAUUACUUCUGCAUAAAUUGUUUUUUUUUUGUUCGAUCUGAAUUCAGUUUUUUUGUAUAAUAUAUUUAGCUAUUGAAAUUUAUUUAAAUUUAAAUUUAAAUUUUAUAUUUAAAAAAAAUACGGCAACACGGCAGAAUGCACUGCAAUGAUGACGCUCUCGUUCACGCGCUGCUGCAUUGAAAGAAUGAUAGGUUGAUCUGGAGGGAAAAUAUUGGACCAAUCAAUUGAUCCAUGGAAUAAUUUGACCCAUGGUUUGAACAAUCUUCGAGAGGAUUGAUGUAACAAUUUUGAAGGUGGGGAAAUAUUGUAGAGAAAAUUGAAGAAAAAUGCGCUAUGGAGGGGAAAUAUUGCUGUGUGGUUGAUCAAACGGAAGAUAGGGGAAAAGUUGAAUGAUUGAUGUCAAUCUAUUUUUGAACAAUAUUAUACAUUCAAUGUUUCCAUAAAACGACCAACUAUUGAUCAAUAUAUGCACCGUGUGACUGGCGCUAAUGGCGAAUGGUGACGAAUGCUGGUGAGCGAUCGAAGUGGCUAUUAUCAUAACUAGAAGAGAAUUUCUGCAUGUAAUGCAUACGUUUUUAGUGUAUUGUUGUUGAAAUGCUAGAUUAGCAAAGAAAAUAAUAAACAUUUUUUGAAAACUUCAAAUAUUCGUACGCGCAAUUCACUCACGAAUCGCAUCACCUCUCCAUCGCUUGCGAUGCGAUUGUGGACGAAUGUUUAAAUUCCAUGUAUGGCUUCCCACCGUUCGCCGGUGUUUGCUGUCGUCGCUGACAAGCAAACACACAAACUAAAGCGACAACCGUUCGCUGCUGACUGUAUUCGAGUGUGGAAGAAGAUGAAAAGUGGAAAUCAGGAACCCUGCAUCAAAAUGCUAUCAUGAUGCGGUACUUUUGCGAAGCCUGAAUGCUACAAAAUCCUUUUGUGCAUUAUGAUUAAAAUACCCCUUUGCUUAGUAAUCAAAGUAGGUAGUAUCAAUGUUGAGGACAUGCAAAGUUCCAACACAGACAAACAGACGUAACACCUUGAACGAUUUUCAUGGAAAUCCAUCGCCCAGUUCACACUACCAUCACCUAGUGGAAAAGUUGCACGAAUCGCUGUGUUGUGCAAUAUCGUCAACAGAAGGCGCUAGUGUGAAACGUCAAACGCAUAGAAAAACGAUGCGCGCGCCUCUGGAUGUGAAAGCCACAACAAUGAAAAUUUAAAAUGAUCAUUAAAAGCGUGGCCGAUCGAAAUUCCGCAAGUGUUACGUCUGUUUGUCUGUGGUUCCAAUAUGGUCGUAAUAUCUGUUACGUUUAUGUUUGUUUGAGAUUAUAUUAAUUAGAGCUUCAACAUGUGAACACAAUAAAUACGCAGAAAACAAUAUUAAGCUGAAUCCGCCACGCACGCCAACAUCAUUUCGCUCAGUGUAUAGCAUUUUCGAACAUCAACAACCAAUUUAAAUCACCGUCAACCCAAAGGGCCUCCGUAAAGCGACGACGCAAAAGCAGGCAUCGCCGUACCCAAAAAAGAAUAUCGCACACACACAUUCCCAUCGUUGACGGCAGCCGGGUUCAAUCGAUCGUCUUCUGCUACGAUCACGCCAUUCGUCUUUGUCAGUUUCAUCGCGCUGCACGCGACCCGCGAGUGGAGAAAAUUAAAGCGGAAAUUUGAAGCUGUACCGGGAAAAGGGUGCAAUUGCACGAAACCCAUAUCCCGCAAUUGUGCUUCACAGGAAGCGGCUAGACGAUUUUGGGCUGAGUCAGCGGUAGGGAGAAACAUAACCUCCAAAAAACCAGUCGCCGAACGACAGACCAAUCACCCGGUGGCGCAAAAGUGAGGAUAGUUUGGCACAUUCCCAGGAGUGUCCAGCCGGUAAGCCAAAAUGCUCUCAGCAUCUCGAUAUGUGCUCAUUCGUGAAUUCUGCAAUUUAGAUUCGAAGAUCCAGUACUCGCGUGCCACGAGGCCGGAAGCAGACGAGAGACGCCAUCUUGACUGGCAGCGAUCGUUACGUGGGGACAAAGGCCUUCAAGAAGAAGUAGGUUGAAUCUAGAGUGAUUGUCGGAUGAAGGCUAAUUACCUCGUCGCCGUAGGGCCUUUAUUUGCAGUUUUGUUUCUUCUCACGGAGGUGGUGUCGCUCUGCUCAAGCGGGACGGAAUCUCGGCACUGGACGAACGCGGGCAAGGGAAUCGGAAGAUCCGAGUGCGUCAGGCUUCGGAGCGCCCAGCAGAACACAUCAGCGAGCUCUCCCCCGGCACACCGUCCGAUCGCUUGGGGACUCGGCCGAACUCGCUUGGGAGACAGCUCAGCAACACGACCCGAGCACCGCGAUCACGGAUACGACCGGAUUCGGUGGAUCGUAGACAGCCGACAAGCCGAGAGGCAACUUGGCGAGAAUUCCAGGUCUGGUUGUGCCUUCAGCCGGAUUCGCUCGGCGGAAGCACGAUCCAAGGAUAAUACAGCGGAGGCCAGCGGCGAAUAGGGUAGCUCCAACGGAGUCAAUCCACGGAGCCGCCCGGGUCCGCCAAACGAGCUGCAACGGUGAGUAGACGUCACACACGUACUCACACCGCUCGGACAUCGUCUGGGCUCGCUCGGCAGUGCGAGGUGACACGGUGAGAAGGCCGUUGGGACGAGCUUCCGACGAAUCGAGGACGAGCAGGAACAGCGAUGAUGGGUCAGCGGAUGACCAGUGCGUUGGUGGCGGAGCGGCAUGGGGGACGCCCCAAGAAGAUAAGUGCUAGCAUUUAAGAUCAUAUUUGGCGAUUGCCACUCCAAAUGUUUAGCUAGUAAGCCAAUAAGCUAGAGAGGAAGAUGGGUAGACCCAAAUAUAUGUAUUGAUCUGC